UUUCAAGCAUCUCUCCAAACCAAGCAUUUUGAGUCGCGUCUUCUUCAUUCAGAUCUCAUUAUUUGCUUUCUCAAUCCCAAUCCUUAAGGAGAAUGGUGAAUGUGGUUGUAAGCCUUCUCAAGCAGACAUGGGCUGUGGCACUCACGAAAGUGCAUCACAGGGUGCAUGGCAUGGUCAUAAAAAUUAGGAGAGAGGAGAAUUACACAAGUUUAGAUGGUGGAGGCAAACAAACACUGACGAAUAUCGUUAGAAAGAUACAGAGAUCAUCUGAAGGAAAUAAAAAAGUCAAUUCAUCAAUACCGGCGGUAGGGUCAUCCGAAGGAGAUGGAGAUUCAUCAAUACUGGCUGUAGGGUCAUCUGAAGGAGUUGUAAAUGGAGAUUCAUCAAUACAGGUGGUAGGGUCAUCUGAAGGAGUUGUAGAUGGAGGUCCAUUAGUGAUGGCUGUGGGGCCGUCGCAAGGAAAUAAAAAGCCAGUUCGUCCGUAACGAACAUGAAACCGGCCGGAUUCUAUACUUAAGGGCACGUGUGGCAUUGAUUGUAGCAAUGCAAAGUUACUUUCUCAGAUUGCUUAUGUAAAAUUGAUUUCCAGUAAACGUGUUUUGUAAACAUAUAUAGGAAAAUAAUGAAAAAUUGUCAGUUUCA